UCUGAGAUCGAGUAAAAAAAAAUCCCACUCCGUAUAUUAAAGAACUCUCCGUUCGACGCCCAGAUUCCCUGAUUCCCACUCCGUCAGCUGCGCUCUCGGUCCGCCGCCCUCCGUCCGAGGUUGUUAGCUCUUCCGUGGCCGACGGCGAUGGAUAGUCGUGCAGCUGCGAAACCUCUGACGCACAGAGUGUCCGUCUCUCCUUCGCCUUCUUUUCCCUUCCUCCAUCCCCUCUUCUUGGCCGACGACGAUGAUGCACAGUGAUGGAGAGAGCACUGGAUUUGAAAUCCACGAAGAGAGCAACGACGGAGAGAGCAUCAGAUAUGAAAUCGCCGACGGAGAGAGCAUCAGAUCUGAGGGUUCUGUGGAUAGAUGAACGGCGGCAGAGGGAGGAACAGCGGCGACGGUGCGGCGAUGUGGCUACGGUUCUGUUUUUUUCUUGAAUUUUUUUGCUUGGUUUUAGCGAAUGGAGAAAUUGAUGUGUUUAGUGCUAUUAAUCUGUUUUUCUGCUUCAAUGUUUAGUGCCUAAAGUGCCUUAAUCUGUUUUUCUGCUUCAAUGUUUAGUGCCUUCAAUGUUUUUCUGCUUCAAUUGAUGUGUUUAGUGCCUUCAAUGGAAAGUCUUUUUGACUAAAUUAAGUUCCUUUAUGUUUCAAAAAAAAAGUUCUUUUUUUCCAGAUAGAAAUGCUAUAUGCCAUUCUGGGAGAACAAAGUUAGAGGAAUGACCUUGAAAAAUCCUCAACGAGAUAUUCUACUAUUUAGUGAAAUAUAAAAAGGUGUAGCUAAUUGAAAUUAUAAUCAUAUUAAGCUCUAACAUUUAAUUUAACAAUGAGAUAUUUCUUAUGCUUCACUAAUGUUAUAUUGUUGUAUUAUCUUGUUCACAUGCAGAGUUUUAAACCUUCCUUAAAGACAAUAUAUAUUGGAAGACAUGGAAGGCAAACAUCAUACAACCAAUGUUAUAUUGUUGCAAUCCGUGAUGCUAAUGCAGCUUUACAUGUGUGCAUGCAGCUAUAUAUAUUUUAAGAUUAAAACUAUACUGAACUACCAGAGUAUAUCUUAUUAAGAUGCAAAUGAGUGUAUCUCAACUCAUUGGGGUGUAUACUGUAUACUCACAUUGGUUUUAUGGUGCAAAGUUAUCAAAUAUUAGUGGCCUUGCACAAAUAUGCAGCUAAAUAGAAUCCAACCCAAACAACCAAGCUGGCUAUGUAAACAAAUAUUUGAAUCUUUUGCACAAACCAGUUCCAUGUGGCAUAAUUUGGAAUUGAUGCUACUUAUAUUAUCCAGAAAAGUAUGAGUUUGAAGUUGAUUAGUCUCUUUUGCCAAUUUUCAGUUCUUUUAAUAUUCUUCCUUGAAAUGGUUGUAGGGUCCUGAAGCUGCUUCUGUUCUCAAGGAUGGACAAGUUAUUGGAGUCCAUGCUCUGGAUGAAUUGGAUACCAAGUUAACUGCCGCAAGGUUUAGGUUGGUUGCACCCAUUUGGUUAGUAUUGGUUUGCACUAAGGCAAUGUGGCAUUAUGGAUUAGUUAGUGGUUUGUAUAAGCAUUGUGUCCUUGUUGGGUUACCACUUUUGGGUCACAUGUAAA